UUAGUUGAAGCCAAAUAUAGAGGCACUUUAUUGUUAAUAAAAUCAAUGAGAGAUAAUCUCCAAUUAAA
rnacentral:tRNA from 1 species